rnacentral:rRNA from 1 species
GACGAACGCUGGCGGCGUGCUUAACACAUGCAAGUCGAACGGAAAGGCCUGCUUUCCCUUGUGGAUUGCGGGUACUCGAGUGGCGAACGGGUGAGUAACACGUGAGUGAUCUGCCCCCAACUUGGGUAUAAGCCUGGGAAACUGGGUCUAAUUCCCGAUAGGACUGCAGGGUGGUGCCUGUGGUGGAAAACGAUUUUCUAGUGGUUGGGGAUGAGCUCGCGGCCUAUCAGCUUGUUGGUGGGGUAAUGGCCUACCAAGGCGGCGACGGGUAGCCGGCCUGAGAGGGUGGACGGCCGCAUUGGGACUGGGAUACGGCCCAGACUCCUACGGGAGGCAGCAGUGGGGAAUAUUGCACAAUGGGCGGAAGCCUGAUGCAGCGACGCCGCGUGGGGGAUGACGGCCUUCGGGUUGUAAACUCCUUUCGACCGCGAGGAAGCCACCUGGUUGGAAGGGUGGUGACGGUAGUGGUAGAAGAAGCACCGGCUAACUACGUG